rnacentral:rRNA from 1 species
CCUACGGAGGGCUGCAGUGGGGAAUAUUGGACAAUGGGGGGAACCCUGAUCCAGCCAUGCCGCGUGUGUGAAGAAGGCCCUCGGGUUGUAAAGCACUUUCAGUGAGGAAGAACGCCUGGUGGUUAAUACCCAUCAGGAAAGACAUCACUCACAGAAGAAGCACCGGCUAACUCCGUGCCAGCAGCCGCGGUAAUACGGAGGGUGCGAGCGUUAAUCGGAAUUACUGGGCGUAAAGCGCGCGUAGGUGGCUUGAUAAGCCGGUUGUGAAAGCCCCGGGCUCAACCUGGGAACGGCAUCCGGAACUGUCAAGCUAGAGUGCAGGAGAGGAAGGUAGAAUUCCCGGUGUAGCGGUGAAAUGCGUAGAGAUCGGGAGGAAUACCAGUGGCGAAGGCGGCCUUCUGGACUGACACUGACACUGAGGUGCGAAAGCGUGGGUAGCAAACAGGAUUAGAUACCCCAGUAGUC